GAACGCUGGCGGCAGGCCUAACACAUGCAAGUCGAGCGGAUGAAGGGAGCUUGCUCCUGGAUUCAGCGGCGGACGGGUGAGUAAUGCCUAGGAAUCUGCCUGGUAGUGGGGGAUAACGUCCGGAAACGGGCGCUAAUACCGCAUACGUCCUGAGGGAGAAAGUGGGGGAUCUUCGGACCUCACGCUAUGAGAUGAGCCUAGGUCGGAUUAGCUAGUUGGUGGGGUAAAGGCCUACCAAGGCGACGAUCCGUAACUGGUCUGAGAGGAUGAUCAGUCACACUGGAACUGAGACACGGUCCAGACUCCUACGGGAGGCAGCAGUGGGGAAUAUUGGACAAUGGGCGAAAGCCUGAUCCAGCCAUGCCGCGUGUGUGAAGAAGGUCUUCGGAUUGUAAAGCACUUUAAGUUGGGAGGAAGGGCAGUAAGUUAAUACCUUGCUGUUUUGACGUUACCAACAGAAUAAGCACCGGCUAACUUCGUG
rnacentral:rRNA from 1 species